rnacentral:lncRNA from 1 species
UCAUUAAAAUUGGCGUUAUUAUUUUUUUUUCAGGUGCAUGCCCUGCAGUACUUGAAACAACAAACAGAAAGAGCUAUUGGACCUCUCCAACAAAGAGUUAGCUAAGUUGGAACACGAGAUCCGUCGCCAGAAACAAACAGUGUUGAUUGACACUCUUGCAUUGUCGAGCGACACCACUUCCCAACAAGCAUAGAGGGACACCCUACUAGUGUCGAACGACACCAUUCACACCGGGACAGAGAUCGUUUCCCCCGAUUGUUCUGAUUCGUGAUGCGGAAGGAAACUGAUAUGCUCAAAUCAACCUUAAGCUAUUCUCUCAAAUAAGAGGUUCAAAUGUAGUAUUUAAGGAUCGAAUCCACAUAGACUCUAUUAUUACUCAAUAUAUUUAUUAGUUUUCGAAUUAAAGCUAGAUGAUAAUAAUAAAAUGCAAGAAAUAGCAAU